UACGAAGGGGGCUAGCGUUGUUCGGAUUUACUGGGCGUAAAGCGCACGUAGGCGGUCUGUUAAGUCGGGGGUGAAAUCCUGGGGCUCAACCUCAGAAUUGCCUUCGAUACUGAUGGACUUGAGUUCGGAAGAGGUUAGUGGAAUUCCCAGUGUAGAGGUGAAAUUCGUAGAUAUUGGGAAGAACACCAGUGGCGAAGGCGUCUAACUGGUCCGAUACUGACGCUGAGGUGCGAAAGCGUGGGGAG
rnacentral:rRNA from 1 species